UGGGGGAUAGCUCGGGGAAACUCGAAUUAAUACCGCAUACGUCCUACGGGAGAAAGGGGGCAGUUUACUGCUCUCGCUAUUAGAUGAGCCUAAGUCGGAUUAGCUAGUUGGUGGGGUAAAGGCCUACCAAGGCGACGAUCUGUAGCUGGUCUGAGAGGAUGAUCAGCCACACCGGGACUGAGACACGGCCCGGACUCCUACGGGAGGCAGCAGUGGGGAAUAUUGGACAAUGGGGGAAACCCUGAUCCAGCCAUGCCGCGUGUGUGAAGAAGGCCUUUUGGUUGUAAAGCACUUUAAGCAGUGAAGAAGACCUAACGGUUAAUACCCGUUAGCGAUGACAUUAGCUGCAGAAUAAGCACCGGCUAACUCUGUGCCAGCAGCCGCGGUAAUACAGAGGGUGCAAGCGUUAAUCGGAAUUACUGGGCGUAAAGCGAGCGUAGGUGGCUUGAUAAGUCAGAUGUGAAAUCCCCGGGCUUAACCUGGGAACUGCAUCUGAUACUGUUAAGCUAGAGUAGGUGAGAGGGAAGUAGAAUUCCAGGUGUAGCGGUGAAAUGCGUAGAGAUCUGGAGGAAUACCGAUGGCGAAGGCAGCUUCCUGGCAUCAUACUGACACUGAGGCUCGAAAGCGUGGGUAGCAAACAGGAUUAGAUACCCUGGUAGUCCACGCCGUAAACGAUGUCUACUAGUCGUUGGGUCCCUUGAGGACUUAGUGACGCAGCUAACGCAAUAAGUAGACCGCCUGGGGAGUACGGCCGCAAGGUUAAAACUCAAAUGAAUUGACGGGGGCCCGCACAAGCGGUGGAGCAUGUGGUUUAAUUCGAUGCAACGCGAAGAACCUUACCUGGUCUUGACAUACACAGAAUCUUGUAGAGAUACGAGAGUGCCUUCGGGAAUUGUGAUACAGGUGCUGCAUGGCUGUCGUCAGCUCGUGUCGUGAGAUGUUGGGUUAAGUCCCGCAACGAGCGCAACCCUUGUCCUUAGUUACCAGCGGGUUAAGCCGGGAACUCUAAGGAUACUGCCAGUGACAAACUGGAGGAAGGCGGGGACGACGUCAAGUCAUCAUGGCCCUUACGACCAGGGCUACACACGUGCUACAAUGGUAGGUACAGAGGGCAGCUACACAGCGAUGUGA
rnacentral:rRNA from 1 species